rnacentral:tmRNA from 1 species
GGGGCUGCACUGGUUUCGACGGGGGCAGUGAGGCUGGAUAAGCGGGCGGAGGCGCCUGGCCUCCAUAAAACGGGCAAUUUUUUAAAUUAACUGACAACAAUAAAGUUGCUCUGGCUGCCUAAUUAGGCGCCCAUCCUCCCCGGAAGGACCACGAGCCGGGCUAGGGUGUGAUCUGAGUGGUGACCGUGCGGCGGGAAAGAGUUGACUCGCCCAUGCACAAUGACUCUACCAAGGCCGUGAGCGUGUUUGUUCGCGCGCGGCCGAGGGAAUGUAAAUAACAAACUGUGCCCGGAGAAAGUCCAGUCAAGUUGCUUUCGGACAGGGGUCCGAUUCCCCUCAGCUCCACCA